UUGAACGCUGGCGGCGUGCUUAACACAUGCAAGUCGAUCGGUAACAGGUGUAGCAAUACAUGCUGACGAGAGGCGGACGGGUGAGUAAUGCUUGGGAAUCUGCCUAUUAGUGGGGGACAACCCGGGGAAACUCGGGCUAAUACCGCAUACGCUCUACGGAGGAAAGCCGGGGACCGCAAGGCCUGGCGCUAAUAGAUGAGCCCAAGUCGGAUUAGCUAGUUGGUAGGGUAACGGCCUACCAAGGCGACAAUCCGUAGCUGGUCUGAGAGGACGACCAGCCACACCGGAACUGAGACACGGUCCGGACUCCUACGGGAGGCAGCAGUGGGGAAUAUUGGACAAUGGGGGCAACCCUGAUCCAGCGACGCCGCGUGGGUGAAGAAGGCCUGCGGGUUGUAAAGCCCUUUCGGUGGGGAAGAAAAGUCUCGACCUAAUACGUCGGGACCUUGACGUAACCCACUAAAGAAGCACCGGCUAACUCUGUGCCAGCCGCCGCCGU
rnacentral:rRNA from 1 species